rnacentral:rRNA from 1 species
GACGAACGCUGGCGGCGUGCUUAACACAUGCAAGUCGAACGGAAAGGCCCUGCUUUUGUGGGGUGCUCGAGUGGCGAACGGGUGAGUAACACGUGAGUAACCUGCCCUUGACUUUGGGAUAACUUCAGGAAACUGGGGCUAAUACCGGAUAGGAGCUCCUGCUGCAUGGUGGGGGUUGGAAAGUUUCGGCGGUUGGGGAUGGACUCGCGGCUUAUCAGCUUGUUGGUGGGGUAGUGGCUUACCAAGUCUUUGACGGGUAGCCGGCCUGAGAGGGUGACCGGCCACAUUGGGACUGAGAUACGGCCCAGAAUCCUACGGGAGGCAGCAGUGGGGAAUAUUGCACAAUGGGCGGAAGCCUGAUGCAGCAACGCCGCGUGCGGGAUGACGGCCUGCGGGUUGUAAACCGCUUUCGCCUGUGACGAAGCGUGAGUGACGGUAAUGGGUAAAGAAGCACCGGCUAACUACGUG